rnacentral:tRNA from 1 species
UUUGAAUGAAGGGUAAAAAGCCGCCCUGAGGGGGCUAUUGAUGGGAGGUUAAGCUCUCUCUUCUGA